CAGUCGCCACGGGAAUACGAAGGGUGCAAGCGUUACUCGGAAUUACUGGGCGUAAAGCGUGCGUAGGUGGUGGUUUAAGUCCGUUGUGAAAGCCCUGGGCUCAACCUGGGAAUUGCAGUGGAUACUGGGUCACUAGAGUGUGGUAGAGGAUAGUGGAAUUUCCGGUGUAGCAGUGAAAUGCGUAGAGGUCGGAAGGAACAUCUGUGGCGAAGGCGACUAUCUGGGCCAACACUGACACUGAGGCACGAAAGCGUGGGGGGCAAACAGGAUUAGAUACCCCCGUAGUCCCUGUCUCUUAUAC
rnacentral:rRNA from 1 species